rnacentral:misc_RNA from 1 species
AAGUCGUAACAAGGUUUCCGUAGGUGAACCUGGAAGGCAUUAACACGUAUCCAACGUUAAAACAACCCCGUGAACUUUCAGCUUGAGCCCGUGAAAACAGCAAUCCCUGGUAAAUCAUUGUUGACCAGCUUUUGAGUCAGGGACCUCUGCCGAUUGUGAUAUUUUAUAGCUACGGUUGAGCGAUUGCAUCUAGUAAUCUCUGAAAGUGUCAUUGAUUAUGAUCGCUGUAGGCCCACGUCACCGGCGCGCGUGAAAUUCGCACGGCACCAAAAACCGAACAACUGUUAACAAUGGAUAUCUUGGUUCUC